CGCUUUUCAGCUGAGCUUCCGUUUCCUCGAAAAAUGUUCUCAAAAAUACACUACUCAAUAGAAACCGACGAGUUUUGAACUUUUCUGGGGAUGUCAGGUCGCUGGCGAGGUGUUUGCACAAAUGUUUCCGAGCACACACACGAAAAUCUUUGCAAUUGAGAUGCAAAUUGAAUUAUUGUUUGAAUUCUGGCUUUGUUUACGCCGCUCGUUCGAUAAACAUCGGGGCGAAAUGCAGUCAGUGAUAUGUUUGCUGUUGUGUUUGUCGUGUGCUUUAGCUUUUUGUAAAUAUAAACAAAGUCCGGGCUGGCGGGGGCGGGGAUGUCGCGGCGGCGGUUGGCGCAAAUAAAAGUUAAAAAUAAAAACUUAUAAUUGUCCGACGGCUGUUGUUAUUUUUAUUAUUGUUGCCAUUUAUUUUUGGAAAUAGACGUUGAAUUUGUUUAUAUGGAGUAAAAAUAAAUUAUUGCGCGUAGUGCGAGAGCAGCGGGCCAGCAUAAUUUCUCGCGGCGUUCGAUUUAGUAUCUCUAUCUGUUGUGAAUCGCUAGCGGAAUCGGAUCGUUGGAUCGUUGGCUCGGAAUGAAAAUAUCGAACUCGCAAACGGAUCGCAAACUGAUCUGCCGAAAUCGAAUCGAAUCGAAAUCUCAAAAUCUCGAAAUCCCGAAAACCGAAAAACUGAAGAAGCGGCGCUGCGGACGCGUACAAACGUACUGACGGAUAUGCCGUCGUUGACGUCGUAACGCCAAGUACGCACACACAGAUACGCCCGCACACAGCUGCACUGCGCCAGGCUCUCUCGCAGUCGCACACUCACACACACGCACAGCCAGCAAACGGACACGUAUACGUAGGCUGGCGGUGAGGAUUUUCGUUUCGUGGUGAACUCACUCACACGCGCACACCUUCUAACGGUGCCUUUUGUUUUUGCCUUUUUGUGUAACAGAAUAUCGCACACACACAUUGCCGGGCAAUGGGAGAGCGGGAGAGACAGAGAGAGUGCGCAGUCGCUGACUUUGAGUUCUUACUCACAACGAAAGCAAGAGUGAGCGAGAGGCGGCGGGGUUUGGGGGCGUUAGAGAGGGGGCUGGUGGGGGUGAGUGAGUAAUUCGGUUUGUGAGUGAGUGCGUGCGGGAGUCGAACGAGAAACAUAUGGUUUUUGUUUGUGCCCCAGCCAGACACACACACGCACACUCACCCACACACUUGAUCAAUCAGCAACAGUUACAGUUAGUUCCCUCGCAGAGCUUGUUGUCCCACUCUGGCAACCUCCCAUAAAUGUUAAUUAUCCCCCACUUCACCACCCCCCUUCACUACACCCCUGCUAAACAUCGCUUUGGUUUCCGUUUUCCUUUGUAUCCGUAUCUCCCUGCCUUCCAGGACCUCUCUCCUCCCACUAUCUGGGUUUUUUUUGUGUGUAUUUUAUUUAUUUGUCCUUGCCACUGGAUCCUCUCUAUAAACACCCACCUACCAUUAGUUUUCCCCCUCGACGCAGCUUAAUAAAAACUUUGUUGACCUGCGUUUGGCAGCAGAAAAAGGUGAUAUUAACUUCAAAGUUGUGACUGCUGUUCUUGUUAGCUUCGAUGUGAACUAGAAUGUUGAACUAAAUCGUCUGCUAGUGGGUAUAAUAAAUACACACAAAAUGGAAGGAAUCGGAAGGGACAAAGGGUAGGACCCGUAGGAUCCUAGGGUGUGCGGCAACCAACGAUUCAUUGUUUCUGCUCGAUUGAUGAUUGCCUAUUCAGACAGAGGUAAAGUAGUUGUAUGGCUGAAGUUGGGGCUUAAUUUGUGAACCGGACCGCCAGCCAGCCAAGUGGGAUCCAAAGCCCUGUGACCCAGACCCUGUCUAUUGUUGCGUUAAGCGAGAUAUUAUUUACCUUAAACACGCUCUAUUAUGCAGGUUAUGUAGGCGAAAAGAUAAUAAAGUAGGGAUACAUGUACCCCUACUUGAUCCCAAUAGGAAUUAUUACAAAAAUCGACUUUUAUAAAGACAGGAAAAUUGGGAAUGUUGGAUGUGAUUAGUCUACUUCUGCGAAGCAAAUAAAAGCUGUGGCUACUUUUCAACCAGAAAAAAAAUCUACUGUAUAAAGUGUAAACUAUUUAUAAAAGUUAGUUUCUUACACUUUACCAUCUAUAGUUCUAACCCAUAUAAGAAAUGAUUUUGCGUCUAUUUAUAAACAAUAAAGAUAAUUCCAAUAGCGACAAUUUUAGUGAUUAGCCAUUACAAUAUGGCAUUUGUAUCAAUAAGAAAAUAUAUUAAAAGAUAUUCUUAUUUAGUGUAAGCUGCGAUUUAAUAAUUGGAUUGAUAGUUAAAACACAGACAAAAGGAUAUUGAGGGAGGUGAAAUCUUAAAGAAUGCCCAUAUUGCAGUUGCAGUUAAGUGGACGCAACUUUAACGUGACUUUCCGAGUAAUAUGCGAAUGCCAGAUGCCGCAGAUAUUGCUCCGCCCCGCCGAGUGAAUGGAUUCUGUAAAAAUCACGCAUAACCGAUACCAAGUGCAGCGCGACCAAGUUACCCGUUUUAUGGCCCUCGCCUCUCGGCGGCGCCACAAUGUUGCAGUUUGAGAACCGAACCCAGCAGCAAACGAUCCAUGUGUGUAUAUCCGAAGAUCCCUUUCCCACUCCCAUUACCAAUCCCAUUUCCAUUUCCAUUCCGAUUCCCGUUUGCAGUGUCCUUGUGACUUUUAACGCUUCCACUGGGUGCGACAACUGCCAACUGCAAACAGUCGUCGACAGUCUUAAUUCAAUAAACGCCGCCCGGCGAUUUGCGCAUGACCAUGUACCCCGAUGCUGUGCGCCGUACGGUUGAUGCUGCAUGUUGCAUGCACUCAACACAUGUGCAACAUGCGGCAUCUGCGGCAGCAGCAUCAGCAGCAUCGGCCUCAAUGUGCGUUGAGUCCGACUUUAACUGCUUGGCAGGGGUUUCUUCAGGGGGAUCUUCGAGUACCCCAAGCCAAGCCACGUGAAACUCAUAUCCAUGCUACUGCCCUCCGCCGUUGAUGUUUUUGUAAACGCUGCGUAGGUAAUUUCAUAAAUCUCAUUCAAAUUGCCCUUCGUGCCAUGCCCAUCUUGCAGAUACCCAGCAGUAGAACAGCACCAAGUGUAUCCGGAGGGUUGUAAGCAUACGGAAUUACGGGAAAAACAUCUUUUUAAUUGCUCGUCGAGAUUUCGAAAUUGAAAAAUGUCUGCGGUGGUAUCAAUUAUGCAAAUGCUGGGCCCCCGAAAAAAGCAAUGGAAGUUCAGUUCAGCUCAAGUGAUUUCGACGCGGAAAAGUCUCUGGGGAGCUGGUCGACUUCCUGCCAAAGGAGAGGGGUAGGUGUCGCCAUUAGCAUUGCCUAAUUACAUUUCAAUUGCUCGACUUAAACGGGCUUAGGACCCCGACUUGCUCCCUAAUUCAUAAAAAUCUCAAUCAAUUUCCCCGGGCACUGAGUGCAAUUUAAAUGUGAUUAAAUGCCAGCUUAAGUACGCUACUGUUCCUCUUGCCGCUCCUUCAUUGCGACAACGUCGAAUUUUGCCUAAUCUAAUCAAUUUUCCCCGAUGCUAAACGCCCACGCAGAAGAGCCUCUUUUAGCUACAGUUUCAGGCUGUCAGCCCGAAUAAUUCCACCUUAACACGUGUGUCAUUGCGGGGCGAAGGAUCGAGGGAUUCGGAUUCGGAUUCGAGAUUCGACGGUGAAAGCAUUUCUCUGUUUGCAUGACUGAUAAGUUCCCAGAGAAGAAGGCCGGAUGCCUAACCUUCCAUUUUGACUGGCUUAGAAUGCGAAAACUGGCCUCUAAUUGGCUUCGACUGUCAUCCCGACUUGCAAUUAGCAUGGCACGGCAAAUAGAAAACUUUUCAACUGUUCUAGCACACAUCCUGAACUGAACGACCUGCCGUCCGCAAAACUGUCACCGUCGACCAUUUUCCCUUGUUACCAAACUGUUUUUUUUUUUCUACUCCUCACUUUUCCUUUCGAGCUGGUUUGGGAAAAUGGCACAUAUUUAAUGCGAGAACUCUUUUUUUGGGGCAAGGACGAGCUGCAAAAAGGUUUAUAAUUGAAACGGAUGACAUACAUUCAAGCCAACAAAAACCGAACUCGUGGAAAACAAUACCAAGCAUCCUGGCUGGAGAAAAGGGAUGGGAAAAACUGGUGGGAAAGCAGACAGGCAGACAGGCAGACACACGGAAAUUGACAACUCGCAGAGCAAUAAAGAAAAGUGUCCCGCACACACACACACUCACACACAGCGGGAGAGAAAACGAGCAGAAGGAAAACCCGAGGGGGUGGCGGCGGGUUGAUAAGUUUAUACAAUUUCCACCCACAGAACCUGAGUUAUGCCUCCACAUAACACAAUAUUUCCCUAAUGUCUUUAUUAUGUUCCAUUGAGUGUAAAUAUUUGCCUUGCACCCACACACACAGACACACACAAACACAAACUUGCGCACGAGUGCGUGUGUGUUUGUUGGCCAGCUUCAUAAUACGAGGCACGUGCUUCAUAAGAAGGUGAAACAAGCCGAAAAACAAAACAGGUUCUAAGGACUCACCUUCUUCGGGGAGCUCGCUUUCAGCAAUUUUGCCGACACAACAGGUACAAAAGAUUGAGCUGCAAAGAGGCGGAAAAAUACGAAAAUGGAAAUUAGAAAAUUGGGUGGCCACUGGGGGGAGGGGCAGCUUACGACAAAACGCCGAGCUGCGAAAACGCGUCCGUGACGCCAGCGAUUUAUGACGCUCAGUUCAAUGCACACGCGUACCACGUUGACCUCCUGCAUCGCGCUGUUCGCGCCCCCCGCCCAGAAACCCCAGAAUCACUAGAAUCUCCAGAAGCCCCAGAAAUCGGUGGCAAAGUCGGGGUCCGCACAUGUGCGGCAUACCCCCUGCAAAAAUGGACUAAAAGAACUCAGAUAACGAGUUGGAUAACCGAGAAGCUGCUGCGUGAGUCCCAGACGACAAGUGAGCAGAGCGGGUUUAAAGUUGAAAGGAUACCAUAAAUCUUGUAAGCUGAUGCAAAGCGACAUUCGCCGAAGCCGCAAACAAAGCCACUGAAUGCGUGGGGAACCAAGGAGUAGGGCGGCGGAACAGUGAGCCAUCUGAAGGCUCAACAAGUGACGCAGCGACUUGGGAUGCUGCUCGGGUAGAUUGGGUGGUGAUAUAUAGAACCUAUCACUUCUGAAGUAUUGCGCACGUUCUUCUUCUUUAAUUUAGUAACCAAUGUAAGGAACCAAAAUCGUAACUAUAUUAAGAUCAAUGUUAUUAAAUUAAGAUUAAAUUCUAUAAUCCUAGUAAUAAAGAUGAAGUCAAAUCUUUACACCCCUACCCUAUAGAAAGAAAAUGAUGUUCGCCCAAUCAGCAUUUGCAACAUGAGGACUAUUUCUCAAACUAAUUUUCAUCAGAUGUUUGUUGCAUAAAAGACACUCAGGAAAUCCCCAGGCCUAAUGAGGCACAUUUCCCCGGUCUGGAUGGACGGGAUUACCGAUAGCGAGCCCGGUCUCAAGUGGGCGCAUCCUUUAGCUGCUGAUUUGGAUGGCGAGGUCGUUUCCUGGUUGCCAUUGCAUUUGCAGUUGCCGAGCCAGAAGUCAAAUGGCAUAUCUAGCAUAACAUUCUCCUCGACUGCGGAUUCUCUGGCCGAGAAUGUCUGGGCAUCGGAAUGGAGGCACCCAAGCCACUUGAGCCCCGUAUCCGUGUGCGGUUGUUUCUGUUUCUGUAUCUGUAUCUGUUUAGGAGCCUGCAGCCACAUUUUAUUGUUGUCUUUCUCACCUAAAGCCAACUGAAGCGGCAGCAGCGGCCAUAAGGCGCAUCGAUGUAGAAACAUCUUAUGGUUUUUCAUACACUCGGCGAAAAAAUUAUGAA